UUCAUUCUGAGAAGUACAGUUUGUCGAUGAUGAAGAACUAGACCAUUUCAGCACUGAAUGAGGAUAACAAAGAAAAGCUUCACUUGGUUCAGAAAAUGCUUUAAAUCUAGCUUCACACUCCACCUGCCAAAAUUUGUUACAAAUACAUGUAACUACCUUUUAUACGGCAAAUUCAUAACCAAUUGAAAUUUUUUAAAAUGGAGACAUAUUUUAAUUUACUUAAUUACAUUGAGCAGGCUGGAAGGGUGGUUUGUUCUGUUGAGCAAGAAGCUAUUUUGAUACAAACGGAGAAAAUAUUUCUGUGCAUGACUUGCCACCUGGGUUGGUGUUUUUGUUGUCACAAAUUCUUUAGAUAUAUCUCUCCAUUUACCCUUCCCAAGCUUCUCAAGUCCUCUAACAAAUAACUUGUUCUCCUCUUCAGUCCAUGCCAUACCUGAACAUCAAAAAAUAUGUUAUUUUAAUUUCUAUUCCUAGCUGCAAUUCAUUCUCAUAAAUUGUUUUUAACACUUGUCAACUUGAGUAUAAUUAUAACCUUUUUUACCAUCUCGGAUUGUUGAUAUGACGCAACUGCCUAAAUAUUUAUCUGAAUUUUCAUUUGCACCAAACAGGGUAGGCAAGGAGGAGGAUAUUGCUAAAGAGGUUUGUGACGAUAGCAUUGAAUCCAUGUUGAAACUCCUUUUAGUGCCCAAAUAUGAAGUUGAAGAAGAAUAAAAAUCAAGUUGUUUGUGACUCAUACUAUUAU
rnacentral:lncRNA from 1 species